rnacentral:rRNA from 1 species
CAGUAGCCGCGGUAAUACGUAGGGUGCAAGCGUUAAUCGGAAUUACUGGGCGUAAAGCGUGCGCAGGCGGUUUUGUAAGACAGAGGUGAAAUCCCCGGGCUCAACCUGGGAACUGCCUUUGUGACUGCAAGGCUAGAGUACGGCAGAGGGGGAUGGAAUUCCGCGUGUAGCAGUGAAAUGCGUAGAUAUGCGGAGGAACACCGAUGGCGAAGGCAAUCCCCUGGGCCUGUACUGACGCUCAUGCACGAAAGCGUGGGGAGCAAACAGGAUUAGAUACCCGCGUAGUCCCUGUCUCUUAUAA